AUACGGAGGAUCCGAGCGUUAUCCGGCUUUAUUGGGUUUAAAGGGAGCGUAGGUGGAUUGUUAAGUCAGUUGUGAAAGUUUGCGGCUCAACAGUAAAAUUGCAGUUGAAACUGGCAGUCUUGAGUACAGUAGAGGUGGGCGGAAUUCGUGGUGGAGCGGUGAAAUGCUUAGAUAUCACGAAGAACUCCGAUUGCGAAGGCAGCUCACUAGACUGUUACUGACACUGAUGCUCGAAAGUGUGGGUAUCAAACAGGAUUAGAUACCCUGGUAGUCCACACAGUAAACGAUGAAUACUCGCUGUUUGCGAUAUACAGUAAGCGGCCAAGCGAAAGCAUUAAGUAUUCCACCUGGGGAGUACGCCGGCAACGGUGAAACUCAAAGGAAUUGGCGGGG
rnacentral:rRNA from 1 species